rnacentral:rRNA from 1 species
CAACCUCAAAAGAAGCAGAGGGGGCUUAGUGGUGGGGUGACUGCGUACCUUUUGUAUAAUGGGUCAGCGACUUAUAUUCUGUAGCAAGGUUAACCGAAUAGGGGAGCCGGAGGGAAACCGAGUCUUAACCGGGCGUUAAGUUGCAGGGUAUAGACCCGAAACCCGGUGAUCUAGCCAUGGGCAGGUUGAAGGUUGGGUAACACUAACUGGAGGACCGAACCGACUAAUGUUGAAAAAUUAGCGGAUGACCUGUGGCUGGGGGUGAAAGGCCAAUCAAACCGGGAGAUAGCUGGUUCUCCCCGAAAGCUAUUUAGGUAGCGCCUCGUGAAUUCAUCUCCGGGGGUAGAGCACUGUUUCGGCUAGGGGGCCAUCCCGGCUUACCAACCCGAUGCAAACUGCGAAUACCGGAGAAUGUUAUCACGGGAGACACACGGCGGGUGCUAACGUCCGUCGUGAAGAGGGAAACAACCCAGACCGCCAGCUAAGGUCCCAAAGUCAUGGUUAAGUGGGAAACGAUGUGGGAAGGCCCAGACAGCCAGGAUGUUGGCUUAGAAGCAGCCAUCAUUUAAAGAAAGCGUAAUAGCUCACUGGUCGAGUCGGCCUGCGCGGAAGAUGUAACGGGGCUAAACCAUGCACCGAAGCUGCGGCAGCGACGCUGAUGCGUUGUUGGGUAGGGGAGCGUUCUGUAAGCCUGCGAAGGUGGCCUGUGAGGGUUGCUGGAGGUAUCAGAAGUG